GUACCUUUCUUGGCUGAUCCCUUUCGCUGUAUGGCGUGCUCGUUUGGGUUGGGCGUCGGCUAAGAGUGCUCGGAGUGUGGAUUAACUCCAGUCUCCUAUCAGGUGAUUGAUUAUGGAAACGUUUCAACUUCAACCCGUAACAGUUGGAUUCACAACGGAUAUGGGGUAGGAAGGUAUUUGGAACGUUCUUCAACGAGUAGAUCUCUUGUGAGGAUUAAAGGCUACCGAUCGAGGAGUGUGUGAAAAGCUUGGAUCAUCGGAGUGACUAAAUCUAGUCAUCAACUUCGGCAAAGGUAUGAACCCAAGGGCCAUUGUGGAUGGUGGCCGAAUGUGUAAGUGA